UCCCUCUGAGGAUCUCACCUGGAGAGUUUCCAGUACUCUACAAGUCUCGACUAUGGGAGGGAGAGUCAAGCAGAGGCAUACCCAUUCCAUUCCUAGUUUAGGCAGCGGCUAGCGAGAGGAAGGCAAUCUGCUACAAGU